rnacentral:SRP_RNA from 1 species
GCGCCGGCCCUCCGCGACGGAAAGCCGUGAACCCCGCCAGGCCCGGAAGGGAGCAACGGUAGCGGUGAUGCCGGGUGCCGGAGUCAGCUGGCGCGGA